rnacentral:rRNA from 1 species
AACGAACGCUGGCGGCAUGCCUAACACAUGCAAGUCGAACGCUCGCAAGAGAGUGGCGGACGGGUGCGUAACACGUGGGAACCUGCCUUUGGGUACGGAACAACACCGGGGAAACUGGUGCUAAUACCGUAUAAUGUCUACGGACCAAAGAUUUAUCGCCUGAAGAGGGGCCCGCGUUGGAUUAGCUUGUUGGUGAGGUAAAGGCUCACCAAGGCGAUGAUCCAUAGCUGGUCUGAGAGGAUGAUCAGCCACACUGGGACUGAGACACGGCCCAGACUCCUACGGGAGGCAGCAGUGGGGAAUAUUGGACAAUGGGCGAAAGCCUGAUCCAGCAAUGCCGCGUGAGUGAAGAAGGCCUUAGGGUUGUAAAGCUCUUUCGUCCACGACGAUAAUGACGGUAGUGGAAGAAGAAGCCCCGGCUAACUCCGUG